GGGUGGUAAAUUCCAUCUAAAGCUAAAUAUUGGCGAGAGACCGAUAGCGAACAAGUACCGUGAGGGAAAGAUGAAAAGCACUUUGGAAAGAGAGUUAAACAGUACGUGAAAUUGUUGAAAGGGAAACGAUUGAAGUCAGUCGUGUUCCUUGGAUUCAGCUAGUUCUUCUAGUCUACUUCCAUGGAACGGGUCAACAUCAGUUUUGUCCGGUGGAUAAAGGUAGUAGGAAUGUGACUCCUCUCGGGGAGUGUUAUAGCCUAUUAUUGCAUACACUGGGUGAGACUGAGGACUGCAGCUCGCCUUUUGGCCGGUCUUCGGACACGUUCGAGCUUAGGAUGUUGACAUAAUGGCUUUAAACGACCCGUCUUGAAACACGGACC
rnacentral:rRNA from 1 species